rnacentral:rRNA from 1 species
GACGAACGCUGGCGGCGUGCCUAAUACAUGCAAGUAGAACGCAGUUGCGAACGGUUGAGUAACGCGUAGGUAACUUCCUCAUAGCGGGGGAUACCUCUUGUACACGCUAGCUAAUACCCCAUACUGUGCCAUUGACCUGCGUUGUAUUAGCUAUUUGGUGAGGUAAAGGGUCACCAAGGCGACGAUACAUCGCCGACCUGAGAGGUUUAUCGGCCACACUGGGCCUGAGGAACGGCCCAGAAGCCUCAGGGAGGCAGAAGUAGGGAGUCAUCGGCAAUGGAAGGAAGUCUGAGCGAGCAACGCCGCGGGAGUGAAGAAGGUUUUCGGAUAGUAAAGCUAUGUUGUUAGAGAAGCGGUAGCGAACCAGAAAGGGACGGCUAACUACGUGCCAGCCGCGGCGGUAAUUC